GAUUGAUAUUUACAUUCUGCCAGCCAAACAUUCAGUCUUACUUUGUUCAAGUUCAGAACACUCCUUUGACCGUUCGGAAUAUUUUGCAGAAUUUUGCACGAGUGCCUAUGGAAUUUUUAUCACCUCGUAUUCAUGGGAAAUCGCAAGAGGUGACUGCUUUGAAACUGGCCUUUGUUCAGACCAGAGCUCCAAAUUGACUGUUCCUGUUCCCCAGUGGAUGAAACACUUGAAAACUUCCUCGACAUUAAAUCUAUUAACAAGUGCCAGACCUUGGCACUUAUCCACAAGCAUCCACUCGCCUGAAAUCAAAAUCACAUACAAAACAAAUUUAUUGUCAAUUCUUUUAAAUGGUGAGGCAAACAGUGUCACAACUUGAGUUUGAAAAUAUCUAUCAGCAUCACAUUUGAUUUCAAAAGAUCUUUUUUUUACCUCUGAAAACAAUUUUAAACGAUGAUUCACUCGGGAAGCAGUUGGAAGAACAAUUGCAGAAAUGCAGAAAAAAUAAAAGGGAAACCAAAAUUUUUGUGUUCAUCCUUAUAUGCCUUCGGUAUACUGCCUUUCUUAAUAGUCCUUUCACAUUUUGAUUUAGUAGACAAUGCCACAUGUUUUGACAUAAAACCAAAAUAAAAUUGAAAGUACAGAGUAAUACCAUUAGGCAGAAGGGUUCCUUCAUAAAACAGCUCCCCAGAUUCUGGCCAAAUUUCUUGCUUCGACCCAUCAAUGGAGGUCAAUGAGAGAAAAGAUUCUGUUGGAUGCAGAAGGGUGAACAUGGGGUGCACUCUCAGGCAAACCUGCCUGCAGCAGAAAGUAAGAGUUGCAGAGUUUGUGUAGAUAAACAAGAAAACCAUAACACGCACACAAGUAGCAAUGAGCUUUUCAUGUUGCGAAAAAGAGGCAGGGAGGCAAUUUCUCUUUAAUUUUUUUUAAAGAGAAAAAUCAUUUACUUGAAUUUCCAGAAACAAUAAUAUUACACAUUAAAAUAUUAAUAUUGAAGCCUUUUAGCCUCCAUUUGUGUAACAAUAAUAUUUCAGUUUAUAUACUAAUUUUAUGUGGUAAAUAAGGGAGCGUCACUCUCACUCUCAAACCUCCAAAAGUAUACUAAUCUUGUAUUCCCACAACAAAUUGGAUGAAGGCUUGAGAGUAUGACUACAAUUGUACAUAGCAAAGAUGUACACAUUAAAGUGUUUCAUUUUUUUGGGAAUGAAGUUACAUGACAUAGCUGCUGUUAUUAUUUUAAGAAUAGUUGACUCAGGAGUUGCCCACCGAAUCUGCUGAUCCAGAUUGUGGGGGUGGAUGAUUGAUUGACAUAAUAAAAACAGACGUUUCUUUCAUAUUCUUUCUUUUCAUCUUCUUCCUAGUUAUUUCUUACUUCAUUCCCUCUACUUACUGUUAUUUUUUCUAUUGUCCCCUUUCGCUUUCUUUUUCGAGUACUGACCUACAUCACUUAAGACUCUUAGACCAUUAUCUAAGUGAUACAGAAUUAGUUCUUCUCAAAUGAUAAACCACAGUCCCAAAUGAUACAGAAUUAGCACUGUUAGAAGCAGUACUGUCGAAAAGAAACAAAAGAUAACACAGAAUGAAACACACCUUGAAAAGCCACCAGAACCAGCGCCAACUCUGCCGGCUAGAAUUUUAGAAUCGAUCUUAAAGAUCUUUGGAUUAUCUUUGGGAAUAGUUAACUUCCUCUGCAGAAUCAACCCACCGCCAAUAUCACCUUCUAACAUGAGAGACUCCUCUUCUCCUCCAUGCUGAAGACUCCUCCUACAACAGAAGAAAAGGUGAUAGAAGCAUAACACAAACAGAAAAAGGAACAUUGGGCACGACAAGCAGCCACAACAAAUUUAUUAUUAGGUAGAUAAUAUUUUAGAGUAGCAAAGAAAGAUAGAGCAUGAUUUUCUAACACUCCAUCUUAAAUAAAACAAACACAUCCUACUGCUAUUUGUCAACAAUUCAAUCAAAUGCUUGGCUCUUUGACCUUAUAGGUCCCAUUCCAGAAAGCAUUAUAUCAGUACAAGUCUUGAUUAUUUAAAUUAUGCUUCUUCGAAAAAGAAAUGAAGUUUUAAACAUAGUAAUCGGAAACUCACUCUACGACACUGUAUUCUUCAGUACAUCCAGCAGACCGGUAUUCAGUACCACAAUACUCUUCAUAUCCGUUAACAUCAACCCUGCUAUGAAGCCACUGUGUUCCUGUCAACAUAAUAACUUUGGAGUCAAAGGAUGAGCAGUUAACAUAAUGUUUCACACAUUAGAAAUACAAAUGAAUAAGUAACUGAUUUGGGCAGAAAUUGAAACUAUGUGAGGCUUUAUAUAUAUAUAUAUAUAUAUAUAUUAAGUUCGGACAUUUGUUCUUAUUGGUAUUAAUUAGUAAAAUCUGAUAAAAAUACAACUAAAAUAACUCCUUAGCAUAAAAUUUGGUAGUAAACACAUGUCAUUAGAUCCUACAGAGGUUAGAUAGUAUUAAAAAUAAGUGGAGAUUCCACUUUCAACUCAUCCUAAAUUAAAAAAAUAUAAGAAGUCAAACCAAUUUAAUAUUAGAGAUGCAAAUCUACCGAGACAAGUAAACCAAACAAAAUUCAUAAUCAUUGAAACUGUUAAAAAAGAAAGUAAAAAAAUUUAGGGUAGCGACUAAAUUCACACGAUAAUAACUUAUGCCCCAUUUAUUGUGUAAAUUGAGAAAAAGAAUGGAAAAAGGAAACAUGAGAAAAAUAAAUAAGAAAAAUAAAUCAAUAACUAAAAAUUAGACAUUAAUUUUAUAAUUUUUAAUGGAUUAAUUCUUUGCAAGAAUGAGGAAUUUAAUUGGUUAAUUUUGAUAAACCUCCAGUAGUUAAGUUCUGACCUUUAAUAAACACCAGGGAAUUACCCGAAAUUACCCUAAUAAAAUGGAGAAAACUCAGAAAAGUAUUAAGUAAAACUUCUUAAAACGACGGCGCAUCUGUAGAGAUUAUUCCCCGCAGACCCACCCAGCAGCGCACCAUCGUCAUCGUGUGAUUAAGUUUUCCCAACAACACGCGGGGGGAAGCGGACAAAACAUCGCUCACCCGCUUUUGUGGAGAAUGAAGAGAAGGGCUUUGAAAUUUGAAUUAUAUGUGUGUAGUUGAAGACUGGAAGUGGAAGAUGAUUGAAGGUUGAAGAAAAGCACACCAACGGGUCGUGAAAAUAAAUGGGCAAUUAUAUUUAUUCUCAGAUAUGCUCUCUUCUUGGCCUGCUGUACGGCCAAGGCGGAUGUACGGUACAGCAGAAUUUUACAUUCAUCAUCCAACACAUAAGUGAUAUCACAUUUAUGAGAUGAUCAAAUAAAGUAAUAAUUAAUUUUAUAUUUAUCAUGCAAUACAUGAGUGAAACAUGACAUUGUAACCCAAGUUAAAACUCAAAUAUUGAGUCCCCAAGCAUUCCUCAAAUUCUUUUGAGCUCAUCAAUAUAUCCCCUAAAUUGUUGAAGAAACAUAAUCGAAUAUAAGCUUCCAUCAAUUAAAUUGAAGCUUAGACAGAGAUUAGGAUAAUUUUAAGUUUUAAUUCUUGCAACAAACACAAUGCAUUGUAACAGAGUUUGCAUAGCAUAAUAAAAUUAACCCUAAUCCUACUCUAUUGCUUUUCACCAGGUGGUUUUUCUUAAAGAAAUUUUGAGUGCAAUAGGGAAAAAAGAGUCUUGGUCGCAAAACCGAACUUUCAUGGGAAAAAAAUGAUCCAGUUAUAGUAAAGUAAAAAUAUUUCAAAGACUACAAUUAUCAUCGUCAUCAUCAUGCGUGCUUCAACAGCCUCACAUCAUUGUUUCCUUCCAACAAACAAAUGUUAUUAUAACAUUAGAAUCACAUCGCCAUCACAUUGCUAUGUUUAAAGCAAACACAUUACGUAUCUAUAGACUAUAGUGGUAAAACACUCUUAUAGAAAUGGAGAUUCUCACUCUUAUUUAGAGUAGAUUUGUUAAUUAAAUUCGAUAGAUCCCAGCUUGUUAUAAAUUGUACAAAUCUACUUCGGUGGACUUUGAUUGUAAUAUCGAUAGAAUAUAAUAUAACAAUAAGGACAUACAUUACCAAGGGCGUCAAUUGAGGGAAUCUCCAGCUCCAUUGGGGUAUCACUGAACCAAUGAUGAAAAGAAUCAGAAUUCAAAUACAACAUGAAUUUUACUACAGUAGUAGUAAAGGUAACAAUAAAACCCUUUUGAGUAUCCGAAUGGUAUUUAGUUGGAUUUGUAAAUGUUUGUGGAGUAACUGAACUUUGUGGUCCGUUGAUGUUUGUUAAGAGUCGAGUCUGUUUAAACAUGAAUUUGAAGCAGCAUAUGAAUUGUUAUUUUUCUAUUAAAAGAGGCUUACUAUUCCUAUGCCAUCAAAAUUGGUAGAUGUAUGCGACCACCUGUAAAUAUUUAUUCUGCAGUUUAUUAUAUCCCAUGCCAUCUCAAUUCAUAGUUUUUUCUCUUGUCAAUUCCCAUCCUAUGAUUUAAGCCCCACACUCACCAUCCUCGAGCUAACAAAGCUUGUGCUGCUUACCUUUCCAUCUAAUGGUUGCUUCCUCUAAAACAAACAAAUCUAUGCUCGUUGAAGUCUUGGAAAGAUAUUCAGGCAUUAACAAGUCACCAAAUUAUAUCGAGUUGCACAAGACACUAACAAGUAACGUGGAGAUCGAUUAUUAUUAGGCUCAGCUGAUUGAUAUUUACAUUCUGCCAGCCAAACAUUCAGUCUUACUUUGUUCAAGUUCAGAACACUCCUUUGACCGUUCGGAAUAUUUUGCAGAAUUUUGCACGAGUGCCUAUGGAAUUUUUAUCACCUCGUAUUCAUGGGAAAUCGCAAGAGGUGACUGCUUUGAAACUGGCCUUUGUUCAGACCAGAGCUCCAAAUUGACUGUUCCUGUUCCCCAGUGGAUGAAACACUUGAAAACUUCCUCGACAUUAAAUCUAUUAACAAGUGCCAGACCUUGGCACUUAUCCACAAGCAUCCACUCGCCUGAAAUCAAAAUCACAUACAAAACAAAUUUAUUGUCAAUUCUUUUAAAUGGUGAGGCAAACAGUGUCACAACUUGAGUUUGAAAAUAUCUAUCAGCAUCACAUUUGAUUUCAAAAGAUCUUUUUUUUAACCUCUGAAAACAAUUUUAAACAAUGAUUCACUUGGGAAGCAGUUGGAAGAACAAUUGCAGAAACAAAUAAAAAAUAAAAGGGAAACCAAAAUUUUUGUGUUCAUCCUUAU
rnacentral:lncRNA from 1 species